CUCUGUGACUCCGUACGGGAGGCAGCAGUGGGGAAUAUUGCAACAAUGGGGCGCAAGCCUGAUGCAGCCAUGCCGCGUGUAUGAAGAAGGCCUUCGGGUUGUAAAGUACUUUCAGCAGUGAGGAAGGUGGUGCAGUUAAUAGCUGUAUCAUUUGACGUUAGCUGCAGAAGAAGCACCGGCUAACUCCGUGCCAGCAGCCGCGGUAAUACGGAGGGUGCGAGCGUUAAUCGGAAUUACUGGGCGUAAAGCGCAUGCAGGUGGUUUGUUAAGUCAGAUGUGAAAGCCCCGGGGCUCAACCUCGGAAUUGCAUUUGAAACUGGCAGACUAGAGUACUGUAGAGGGGGUAGAAUUUCAGGUGUAGCGGUGAAAUGCGUAGAGAUCUGAAGGAAUACCGGUGGCGAAGGCGGCCCCCUGGACAGAUACUGACACUCAGAUGCGAAAGCGUGGGGAGCAAACAGGAUUAGAUACCCUGGUAG
rnacentral:rRNA from 1 species